UAAAAUUCUCUAGAUUGUCAGCUUUUUUUUGUCACAAAAUAAAAGAAGUCACUCUCUGGACAUGAGUUUCUCAUCCCUGUGAAUUUAUUUCUGUCGGUAAAAGUAGAUGUAGAGGGCUCUACUGAUUAUUUCUGAAAGGAAUUGAAAGCGCGACAAUGCCUUGGUAAUUUUCACCGUGAGAGGGUCUGUACUGUUUGUUACUUUUUUCUUAAUAAAUAGUUUUUGAUUUAUAACAGAUAUAAAAAAAUAUGUUUUCUGCAGUGAUUUUAUUAUACAAGGUCGAGGGUAAAUGCACAUUCGUUUUAGCGAAACAUCAUGUGUAAUAUUCUUUUGACAAUGGAUAAAGUUACCAGCAAAACUAGUAGCCUAAAGGCUCUUUUACUGAGAGAGCUUGGCAUGAACGUUGGAGUGAUCUACAGUGGGGCAUAAAUAUUAAAACUAUUUUACCGCGAGGUGUAAGUGGCCAAGUUCUACAAUCUAGCAGACUGUAUACUUCAACAAGCUCUAGUUAGUCCGGGUCCAAAUCAUUUACCUCAAACAUUCGCUCAAUUCUCAGAUCAAUUUGAUUUUUCAGCUGGUUUCGUACGCGGCAGUUUUGCAACGAAUCAGCAAAUAUGACGCGUUUCACAAACCCCACCGGAAUUUGAGUCUGCUGAACUUUUUAUUGGGAUAAUGAAAUCUUCUACAGUUUUAGGUUACUCGAAUUAUUUUCGACUUACUUUAUUGUUUGACUACGAACUUUGAUUGGUUACAAUUUAAUUUAAUAGAACUAGAACUAUUACGAAUUUUCAUCUAACAGAAAUGUCGUUUGUUCGAUUUUUUCAGCCAAAUUGUUUUUAGUUAGAAAUUCUGUCCAAUGAAAUUUUAAUUUAGUCGAAUUUUUAAAUGCAGAAAUAUUUUAUGAUAGAAUUUUAUUUAUCCGAACUUGCAACGGAUAGAAUGUACAAUUAUAUAAAUAGAAGAUUUUUGUAUCUUGUCGGUAAAUGAAAUAGAUUUUUCUUUUUUUUUUUUUUUGGUAGAAUUAAAUAUAUGGAGCAUGAGGAAUAUGUUUCAAUAUUUUGGGAAAAAGGUUUUUAAAAAUUGAAAAUUAAAUUAUUAAUAACUAAGAAUUGAAUUGUUAUAUAAAAAUUAGUAUCCUUUUUAUUAAUAAUAUUUUAAAUAUUUAAAAAUAUAUAUAAUAUAAAACAUGAUAAUGUAGGAUUACAAUAAAUUAAAAUAAUUUCAUAAUGAAUGUGAAUGGCUGCCUGCAGAACGGGCAGAAGUCAAGGUGAUUGGCGAAUUCGUAUGCCGGUUUGCAACUUAAAUAUAUUAUUAUGUGUCCACAUGGCACAAAGGAAUGUGUGGCUGGGGCUUCUUGGCAUAUACAGCAAAUUCUGUUGUAAUCUGUAAAAAAUUAAAUAAUAAAUAACCUAAAAUUAAAA